rnacentral:rRNA from 1 species
GAUGAACGCUAGCUACAGGCUUAACACAUGCAAGUCGAGGGGCAGCAUGAACAUAGCUUGCUAUGUUUGAUGGCGACCGGCGCACGGGCGCGUAACACGUAUCCAAUCUGCCCGUUACUCGGGGAUAGCCUUCUGAAAGGAAGAUUAAUACCCGAUAGCAUUCAUUGGCGGCAUCGCUUUUGAAUUAAAGAUUUAUUGGUAACGGAUGAGGAUGCGUACGAUUAGCUAGUUGGCGGGGUAACGGCCCACCAAGGCGACGAUCGUUAGGGGUUCUGAGAGGAAGGUCCCCCACACGGGAACUGAGACACGGUCCAGACUCCUACGGGAGGCAGCAGUGAGGAAUAUUGGUCAAUGGGCGAGAGCCUGAACCAGCCAAGUAGCGUGAAGGAUGACUGCCCUACGGGUUGUAAACUUCUUUUUGUUUGGGAAUAAAAGACGCUACGUGUAGCGUUCUGCAUGUACCUUACGAAUAAGCAUCGGCUAAUUCCGUGCCAGCAGCCGCCGUAACAC